rnacentral:rRNA from 1 species
AUACGAAGGGGGCAAGCGUUGUUCGGAAUAACUGGGCGUAAAGCGCACGUAGGCGGAAUGUUAAGUUAGAGGUGAAAUCCCAGGGCUCAACCCUGGAACUGCCUUUAAUACUGGCAAUCUAGAGACCGAGAGAGGUGAGUGGAAUUCCGAGUGUAGAGGUGAAAUUCGUAGAUAUUCAGAGGAACACCAGUGGCGAAGGCGGCUCACUGGCUCGGUACUGACGCUGAGGUGCGAAAGCGUGGGGAGCAAACAGGAUUAGAAACCCUAGUAGUCC